rfam:Ipomoea nil DNA, scaffold: scaffold1317, cultivar: Tokyo-kokei standard.
GGGUAUGUAGCUCAGAUGGUAAAGCGCUUGCUUAGCAUGCGAGAGGUACGGGGAUCGUUACCCCGCAUCUCCA